AAUAUCUCUCUAGCCUUCUCCAUCCUUGUAAAAAUCCCCUUUAUAAUUUUGUAGUAUUUUGAAUUCAGGAAUAAAAAUCAAAAAAGUCACUUGGCCACAAACAGCCGGUCUCUGGUACUGUUCUACUCUCUCCCUUUACUUACAAUAUUUGAAUUACUGUUAGCCUAAAUGAUAUGCUAAAAAGGUAAGUGUUAAGCUUAUUAUUCAAAGGUUAUUUACAAAGCAUGCUUUGUUGCCCAAAAUGAACUGUAUCCCCCCGAAAGUGUUUGGUUAAGAACUAUAUAGACUAGGCACUUAAAAACUUGAUAGUAAAUCUUGGUUAGGAUAUCCUAAUCGGUGGUGCUCUUAAACUCGCUUAGGCAGGUGGCCGUGUUGAAGUGUUGUGAGGAACAUCGUGGUUUAAGAUUUACUUAAAGGAUGGUAAUCUGUCUCGAA
rnacentral:lncRNA from 1 species